rnacentral:lncRNA from 1 species
GAGAAGGGCAGGGCGAUGAAGAGGAGAAGAGGAGAAGAGAGGACGGGCAGGGGCAAGAAGCGGAGAAGAGGCGAAGAGAGGAAGGUCCGGGCCGAGAAGAGGAGAAGAGGAGAAGGGCAGGGCCCAGAAGAGGAGAAGAGGAGAAGAGGAGAAGGGCAGGGCCGAGAAGAGGAGAAGAGGAGAAGAGGAGAAGGGCAGGGCCCAGAAGUGUAGCAGAGCUGAGGAGGAGCAGAGGAAA